CUUCACUUCACCUCUUGAGCUUCAGAGUUCCUCGCGAUAACAACCCACCCGCACGAAAAGAAAAAAAAAUCCCUAAUACUCUUACAGUGACCUCAAGUGUUUCUGUGGCGCUCAAUGUGAUGUGAAGGACGACCUCUGCAGACAGGUUGAAGGGGCUGCCCGAGAAGCAGCCAACAGGUGAUAUUAUAUAUGUGGUUCUGAAAUGGGCCAUUCUGCAUAAUAAGAUAUAAUACUUUUACUUUUGGCGCUUUAAGUAUAUUUUGAUGCUAAUACUGUUGUGCUUUUUUUUUUACAUUGUGGUAUUGCUACUUUUACUUAAGUAAAGGAUCUGAAUACUUCUUCCACCGCUGUUCCCAGGUAGACUUGCUAAGAUGUUUGAGUUGUAUCUUACAAAUGUAGCACAGGAAUUAGGACCCAAAAAAGGGUAAGUGAAUAAAAAAUAUCAUAUCAAUGUUGUCAUUGGUAUUAAAAUAUAUGCUACAACUUUCUAAUAAGGACUAUAAGUUGUAGCUAAUGGGUUUUUUAAUGGUUAAUAAAUAAUUUAUCAAUGCUUUAUAGAUCAGUUACACUUAUUAAAAGGGAGAAACCUUUUGGUUGCCAGGAUAUUAAAAAGUCCUUUUGGCUGGUGUUUAUCCUUUCUGUUUUGUAACAAUACAGUUAGAAAAGUUAGUGAUCCAUCAAUAAAUGCUCAUUGGGUUCUCACUUUCUAAUAAGCCAUCAAGUCUGCAGUUACAAAUGUUAAUAGGUCUUUAAUAAAGGGUUUUUACAAUAAUUUGUCACCUCUGCAGACUACAGUUGUAAAUGUUCAUACGUUAAUAAAUGGAUUUUGGUCCAGAUUUUCCGCAGCCCUUUUCCAGAAGGUUAGUGGUCCAUUGAGGGGUCCUCAUGAUCAACUAUGGAGCUAACUGAAAGAUAGAGCACAUUUUAUGCCAUAUUAACAGCCAAGGGAUUUUUCACAACUUGGCAACCCAUAAGUUGUUCUUAUCUGAUGCUUAUUACUGAUCUAUAAAGUAUUAGUGAAUGAUUUAUUACCAUUAAUUUAUUUUUUUUUUUUUACAAAAAAAACUUUAUAAAAGGGUACCCAAUUAGAAAGUGGUACCAACAUAAUUACCCAAAUGAAAUAUAACUAUGGUAGGCCUAUGAGCCUUUAGUAGCCUACUCAUAACAUGCUAUCAGAUGAUCAGACACUAAACAGAAAUGUCCUCAAAAUCAAUUCAGCAUCUCCACAAUGUUGCUUGAUUGAGGCCUGUAUAAUCUGCGACAAGACUAGCCCUGUUUGCACAAUCACUACAUAGCUCAAGACAACACAUUUCUUAAUAGGAACGCAGUUAAGUAUUAAAAACGGCCAGUUGAGGAGUCAACUAACGGUUCUGAGGAUUCAGCAGUAGCUAUUUGUCUGAAGGAAGUGGUGUGAUGUGUUCUUAGACUAAAAAGAAGUUCCCACGAUUCCAUUCAUGCCUUCUUUGCAUACCAAACCCAGCCACACUGAGCUCUCGUGCACAACAGGUGAUUGCCUCACCCGUCCUCUGCCUGAUCUCAUGAUGCAACUAAACCUCCAAGAACAAAAACAAAUCUACAAAUCUACUCAGUCUUUAUCUGUUUGUCUCACACAGAGAUCAACAUUGUGGGAUACUUUUUAGACCUCUGAGAGCUCUGUAUGUAUUCCUCACAUGCUGUUAAAUAACACACUAACAAAAAUCCUACAAUCAGUUGGUAGUAUCCUGCCGUUUCGCUUGCCAUUUACAAUGUGGACAAACUGCAAUCACAACAUUUUUUUAGGCGAAAGGGAGGAACACGCCCACAUGACAGUUUCUUAGGAGGUCCAACAAAAAGCAGUUCUGAGUUACUUUGAAGCUUCACUAUGACUCACAUUGGGAACCGGCACUAACUACCAAAAGCUGGGAUUUCACGAGCAGAAACAGCAAGAAAAAAAACAUUCCAAAUGAUGGCAGG